CAGCUGAACGGGAGAAAUGGCUCCUGCCUUUUACCUUACGGUUUUUGGUGCUUUGAGGAAAUCCUUGCGGGAGAAACAGAAGUUUUCACUGUGUGCUAAAGUGUUUUUGUAUAUAUCAAAGAAAAAGAACUUUGCCGGUAAUAGUAAUGAAUGAAAAGGGGGAAAAACGAUAGUUAAAAGGAAAUACUUUCCUUUAACCCAAAAUACCACACUAAUACCAAGAAUGAGAGGAGUUAUCGCAACUUUGUCCUGGUGAAAACAAUGAUGUCGAUAUCCUGAGGAAGGAGACUGUCUUAUUUAUUGAUAAGUUGAGUAAUUAUUCAAAUUAUAAUUAUUAACCGACUGAAUAUGGAAUGAUGUCUUCGCCGAAGGGAAUUCUGAAAAGAGAGAAUCGGCCACGGUCACUGCAGUAAAGCUAGUUAUCUGUUCAAGAUUAUUACAUAUAAUAAUAAAGGUUCGACGUUUGAAGAGGCAAGAAGUCAACAUCAAUUGCUUCAAGAAGCUUCAAGAGAUAUCUCUCCGUCUUCCACCAGACGCAACAUUUUCAAAACUUGUGCCGGACAGAUAUGAGAUUUAGAUAAAAGAAAAAAGUCAAUUUAUUUUCAGUAUGAUUGAAUAUUAUUGAUUUUUAGGGAGGUUCUUAUUAAGAUGGUGGUAAUGAUUUCGUUCAACUUGGUAGGAAGAUAGCAAUUACAAUUCUUGUAUUUUCACGAGUUGAAGCUUUGCGCACAAAUCCAGCCGGAAGUUUUAACAUGGAUUUUCCCAGCGUAUGAAGACUUGUUACAUCUGCAAUACAGUAGUCAGUUUCUCGUUCAAGUAUGAAUUUUUUGACAUUUCACUCUUCAAAUAACAGAUGAUUUUGUAGAUAUUCAGCGAUAUGACACACACAGCUUAGUGUCUGGAAAGCUGGUGCUGCGAAAGCGUGGAAAAAUAUUGAUUGUGAAUAUAAUUUAAGUAAAGAGCCACUUGAUGUUAAUUUGAGGAGAGGUAAAGUAGGAAGACCCAUUUACCAUAAUGCUUGAUAGGAUUUUUUCGUUCUAAAUUUAAAAAUUCUCUGAACAGAACUAGCAUCAUUGGAAACAUGUUUAAGAGGAUUGUGGGUGGUUUACAAAGCAGUUCAGACACUAAUGUUAAAACUAUAGCACAGCUUUGAUUCACAGGCCUAUAACAGCGUUUGUUGUCAAAAAAUGCAGAUUUCUCAGAGUUAGGUGUUACAUUGUUCAUCGAAACUUUCAAUAAGGUCUUUGUAUUGUUUGUAAGUAUUUGAUAUCAUAAAUGUGUUAUGAUUUGGUACUCUACCUCCAACGAGCACAUUGAAUGCUCUGUAAUUAUGGGAUUAGCUCUCUCUCUCUCUCUCUCUCUCUCUCUCUCUCUCUCUCUCUCUCUCUCUCUCUCUCUCCCUUGUCAACUUUUGCAGUGAUUUAUAAUUGUCAAACUUUCAGAUCUUUAAUAGUUUGUAACUUUGUUGACGUUCUUGAUUACACAAAGUCUUAAUUACUGUCUUCGGCAGAAUGGAUGGAUUCUGUCUUUUUCGAUGUUUACAUUGUUCUGUUUGCGGAAAACACUCUCUCUCUCUCUCUCUCUCACACACACACACACACGCGCGCGCGCGCGCGCACACACAAGCAAAAGGAAAAUUGCAAUUCUUCUAAUGAAGAAAUCUAGAAGUAACUUGGUUGUUUUAAUAUUAAGGGAUUUUUGCUAUGGCUAAAGUGGUCAUAGAUAAUAUGUAUCCCUUACUUUGGAUAUUUUAAUGAGCACAGAAAGAAAAAUGGUGAAAUUGUGCAUUAAGUAUAUAUUGUAAUUUACUGAGUAAUGUGAAGACUGGAAACUUGAGUAAAAUGGGGUCUAUAACCACUGGCUUUAUCAUCACUACAUUUUACAUAAUCAUUAAAACACCACUAUUCCGUAUACUAUUUUUCCGAUUCCUGUAGUAAUUUCAGGAAUGUCUUGAGUAGAUCUUUUACUUGUUCUACAGUCACUGUGCUAGAGACAUUCAACAUGCAUGGAGGAGGCGUUAUUUUUUCUUCUGAUCAAAACAGAAAAAUAGGAAGUUCAUAGUUGGAGUGAUAUGAAUCUUCACUAAAGAAAAGUAUAGUCUUUAAUUAAAUGAACUCUUUGAUCUAAAAUUUGUAUAGGUCGUGUAUUCUAUUCAGCGGAUUAUACUUAAAAAUAAAUGAGAAGUGACUAGACAGGGGACUGAACAUUAGUUUAUUUUUUAGCUUUUAUUAGAGAAAAUAUAAUAUUUUACCGUUUUAAUAGUAUUACAAGCAGAAUUUCAUCAAGGUUUACUUAAAUUUACCAGAAUUUAACAACUUUUAGCGGUUACAUUUUACUAUGUAUUUCAGUGUUAAUAUUUUUCUGUAGUUGUCCAUGUAAGAUUUUAUCAGUUGGUUAUUAAAGCACUGUUAAGGAUUCCGAUGUAAUUACUUCAGUAUUUUUUAGGAUCUCGGAUUGGUAAAUUCAGUUUUUAAGUCUUAAUUUAAAGCUAUAGGAAACCCUUUUGUAAAUCUUAAUAUCUCGGAUUUUGGUGUCAAUUUGUAAACCUAUGGAUCAGAUUUCUUAGGUAUAGGAUGUUGAUAUAAGUCAAAGUAGUUCAUAUCUCAUACUUGGUGGUGUCAUGGAAAUUAAAACCACAAGAAGUGCUCAGACGUCGUUGGUCUUAACUUUGUUAUAAAUUUAUUGAGUGAAUCAAGUAAUUUAGCAGUUCUUUAGUUUAUCAAGACGUACUUUUGAGGGCUUGUAAUUGUGACCGUUAUAGAAAGAAUUAGUUUGUCUUAAGUACAAGGAGCUAAUUUCACACUUACCCGUUUCAUGAACUGGUUUAGGACACUUAAUUUUUUUAUAUAUUGUUUUCUCAAUUAAGAAAUAUUCCAUUUACAUAUCGGUUGAAGUCGUGAACGUUAAAACACGACUUAGUUUUGUGAGUCAGAUUUAAGAAACUUAAUACACAUCAAUAUUUUACGGAACUUUCCUAGAGUAUGAAUAAAUAACAUUCUCCUCUAGUAUGAAUCAAAAGAUAUUCCCGAGCGUGCUGCUUGCUAUUUGCAAUGCUAGGUGUGAAUGACAGAGAAUUUACCAUCAGUGAUGGAUAAGGUCCUGGUUCAGGUUACUAACUCAUGAUGUCUUAGUUGGGUAGUCACGGUAACCCGUGACUACCUACGUCGAUAUCCAGAGUUAGUAACCUGAAUCAUGACCUUAUCCAUCACUGAUGGUAAAAUAUCUGCCACUCACAACUAGCUUUGUAAAUAGCAAAGAGCACCGUCAGGAAUAUCUUUUGAUUACCCGUCCAGGUGACUUUAAACCAGUCCAUUCAAAUACGGUAAACAAUAUGAAUGGAAUUUGUUCAUACACGAGAAAUGUUUCGUAAAAUAUUGAUGUCUUAAUAGUUUCUGAAACCUGAUUAGAGUGAAAUUAGCUUUGUGUACGUAAAACACACAAACUAAGUCGUGUUUUAACGUUCAUGACUUGCAAGUUCUCGGAAAUAUGACUACUGUCGAAAUCAUUUCAUUUGUGACUUACAAUUCUUUUGUAUGUAUCUACUGUUAAGGAGAGAAUUUGUUGUAAAAAUU